rnacentral:piRNA from 1 species
GUCCCAACUUCUUCACUGUCGCAGGACCUA